rfam:Triticum aestivum genome assembly, contig: Triticum_aestivum_CS42_TGACv1_scaffold_592562_7BS
GACAUCUCCCUCCGUCCGAAAAUACUUACCGGAGAAAUGAGUGUAUCUAGACGUAUUUUAGUUCGAGAUACAUCCAUUUUUGCCCAUUUCUCCGAUAAGUAUUUCCGGACGGGGGGAGUAUGAU